rnacentral:rRNA from 1 species
CCUACGGGAGACAGCAGUGAGGAAUAUUGGUCAAUGGGCGCUAGCCUGAACCAGCCAAGUAGCGUGAAGGCUGACUGCCCUAUGGGUUGUAAACUUCUUUUAUAUAGGAAUAAAGUGCAGUAUGUGUACUUCUUUGCAUGUACCUUAUGAAUAAGGCUCGGCUAACUCCGUGCCCGCAGCCGCGGUAAUACGGAGUAUCCGAGCGUUAUCCGGAUUUAUUGGGGUUAAAGGGAGCGUAGGCGGGUUGUUAAGUCAGUUGUGAAAGUUUGCGGCUCAACCGUAAAAUUGCAGUUGAUACUGGCAGCCUUGAGUACAGUAGAGGUAGGCGGAAUUCGUGGUGUAGCGGUGAAAUGCUUAGAUAUCACGAAGAACUCCGAUUGCGAAGGCAGCUUGCUGGACUGUAACUGACGCUGAUGCUCGAAAGUGUGGGUAUCAAACAGGAUUAGAUACCCGGGUAGUC